AACGAACGCUGGCGGCAGGCUUAACACAUGCAAGUCGAGCGCCCCGCAAGGGGAGCGGCAGACGGGUGAGUAACGCGUGGGAAUCUACCCAGCUCUACGGAACAACUCCGGGAAACUGGAGCUAAUACCGUAUACGUCCUUCGGCAGAAAGAUUUAUCGGAGUUGGAUGAGCCCGCGUUGGAUUAGCGAGUUGGUGGGGUAAUGGCCUACCAAGGCUACGAUCCAUAGCUGGUCUGAGAGGAUGAUCAGGCACACUGGGACUGGGACACGGCCCAAACGUCUACGGGGGGCAGCAGUGGGGAACAUUGGACAAUGGGCGAAAGCCUGAGCCAGUCAUGCCGAGUGGGAGAUUAAGGGCCUAGGGUUGGAAAGCUCUUUCACCGGUGAAGAUAAUGACGGUACCCGGAGAAGAAGCCCCGGCUAACUUCGUGCCAGCAGCCGCCGUAACAC
rnacentral:rRNA from 1 species